UCAUGGCUCAGAUUGAACGCUGGCGGCAGGCCUAACACAUGCAAGUCGAGCGGUAGAGAGAAGCUUGCUUCUCUUGAGAGCGGCGGACGGGUGAGUAAUGCCUAGGAAUCUGCCUGGUAGUGGGGGAUAACGUUCGGAAACGGACGCUAGUACCGCAUACGUCCUACGGGAGAAAGCAGGGGACCUUCGGGCCUUGCGCUAUCAGAUGAGCCUAGGUCGGAUUAGCUAGUUGGUGAGGUAAUGGCUCACCAAGGCGACGAUCCGUAACUGGUCUGAGAGGAUGAUCAGUCACACUGGAACUGAGACACGGUCCAGACUCCUACGGGAGGCAGCAGUGGGGAAUAUUGGACAAUGGGCGAAAGCCUGAUCCAGCCAUGCCGCGUGUGUGAAGAAGGUCUUCGGAUUGUAAAGCACUUUAAGUUGGGAGGAAGGGCAGUUACCUAAUACGUGAUUGUUUUGACGUUACCGACAGAAUAAGCACCGGCUAACUCUGUG
rnacentral:rRNA from 1 species